UUACAAUCACUCAAGUGAAAUAUCUAAAAUCAAAGGGGAGAAUGUUCAAACAAGCUUUGUUGGAGAGUCCAGCUCUAAUGCUCAAUCAUCUCUCAAAGAUGAAGAUCAGUCAAAAUAAAGAUUUAUGGGAGGUGAGUCUUUGGAAAUGGGAAGUCCUAAUUAUUUUUCUAGUCUCUGGGAGGUUAUUGUUGCGUUGUAUUAUUAGGAUUAUCAUUGUGUUUUGGAUUCAAAGAAAAUUUCAUUUGGAGAUCAAGCUUCUUUACUAUGUAUAUGCUUUGAAGAAAACAAUUCAAAAUUGUUUGUGGUUAUUGAUACUUUUAGCAUGGUCUUUGUGGUUCCAUAAGCCACUUCACGGGGAUUUAUUGAAAUUCUUGGAGAAAACUUUGUUUUGUUCAUGUCUGGCUCUUACAUUAUGGCUUUUCAAAACCCUAAUUGUUGAAAUUUUAACCAAUCAUUUUUACCUCGGCAAAAUCGAAGAGUCGAUCGUCAAUCACUCAUUGAUUAAUAUGCUUUCUGGACCACGUAUGGUCGAAAUUCAAAGGGCUAAAGCACAAUAGGAGGAAAGGUCAAGGAAUGAGAUUGAAUAUGGUGGUGGACUAACUUUCAAUCUUUUGCAUAAGCUGAAUCCAAAAUUUGUGUCGUCUUUGGAAAUGAAGAGUUUGAUGAAAACAUUUACCUACAGAGCACUUGAUUUGGAAGACAACCAUUCCGCAUUUGUCGCAACUGAAAAGGAGGCUAAAGCACCAACCGAACAAAUAUUCAAAAAUAUUGCUUUGUGUGGUUCCAGGUCUAUAGACAUUAAGGACUUGAUGCCUUUCAUGAUUGAAACUCAAGCUGAUCAAGUUGUAAAUCACUUUAAAAAAGCAUUAAAUUCUGGAAAAUUAAGUCAAACUUCCUUGAAGAACUGGAUUAUGAAUGUUUUCAGGGAGAGAAGAACACUUAUUUUAAAAAUACAUGACCCCAAAUCACCGGUCCCAAAGUUAUAAAACUUGUUGAACUUCUUAGCUGUCCUUGUGAUUUUUGUUAUAUUGAUUUUGAUUUUGGAAAUGGUAACUACCAAAACACUUGUUGUUAUUGGAUCACAGUUCAUGUUGGUUGCAUACAUAUAUAACAACACAAUGACCACUUGUUUUAAGGGAAUAGUUUUUGUUUUCAAAGUACAUCCCUAUGAUGUAGGAGAUAUAUGUGUAAUUGAUGAUACAGAACUUGUUGUUGAAGAAAUAAACUUACUGCAUAUUGUGUUUAUAUCGUUUGAAAAACAACUCAUAACCAUACCCAACAGUGAACUUAGGAAGAAAGUCAUACUUAAUCAUAAUCACAGUCCUGACUUGGAAGAGUCUCUGCAAUUUUAUAUUGAUGUAUUAACUCCUGAUGACAAAGUUUUACAGUUGAAAGAGAGAAUAAAGGAUUACAUGGACGGAAAGCAAGAUCACUGGUAUCCUUCACCUACCAUAACCAUGGAUUAUCUGGAAAAAUUAGGCAAGGUAAAAGUGGUUGUCUGGCCAACUCUGAGAAUGAACUUCGUAGGCAUGAGAGAAAGAGGCAUCAGGAGAUCUAUGUUGAUAGAAGAGUUGAUGAAGAUCUUAAGGGAUCUUGAUAUUUUAUACUUGAAGCUUCUAGAGAUAAAUGACACAGCAUUUUAGUUGUUGGACAACAACUACAAAGUAGAAGGAUAAAGCACUUGUAUUUUGGUGAAAGCAACUGGAAACAAGAAAAAGAAGCAUCAGUCAGUGUGAGAAGUGAGCACAUGUUGCUGCAGCCCGUGUAGAUUUCAUAUUGCAAUUAGAUUUUAUAUCACUGUAGGCAGGUCUAAAAUGGCCACUUGCAUUAGAAUCAAGUUAAUCCGUAGGAAUUUUCAUGUUAUUCUUGUUUGUAUUUUGUUGACAAUGACAAGAAUAGGGGCAUCCUGCCAAACCUUAUAAAUAUUUGAUAUUAGUUUUGUGAUAUGUUGUGUAAGUAAAGAUACUAAUUAUUCCAA